GCUGGUGUGGCUCAGUGGUUGAGCAUCUACCUAUGAACCAGAAGGUCACAGGUUUGAUUCCUGGUCAGAGCA
rnacentral:tRNA from 1 species